rnacentral:rRNA from 1 species
AUUGAACGCUGGCGGCAGGCCUAACACAAGCAAGUCGAGCGAGCGGCGGACGGGUGAGUAAUGUAUGGGGACUGCCCGAUAGAGGGGGAUAACUACUGGAAACGGUGGCUAAUACCGCAUACUAACGGAUAACCCAUAUGGGAUUAGCUAGUAGGUGGGGUAAAGGCUCACGUAGGCGACGAUCGCUAGCUGGUCUGAGAGGAUGAUCAGCCACAAUGGGACUGAGACACGGCCAAGACUCCUACGGAGGCAGCAGUGGGGAAUAUUGCACAAUGGGCGCAAGCCUGAUGCAGACAUGCCGCGUGUAUGAAGAAGGCCUUAGGGUUGUAAAGUACUUUCAGCGGGGAGGCUUUACCCGCAGAAGAAGCACCGGCUAACUCCGUGCCAGCAGCCGCGGUAAUUC